rnacentral:lncRNA from 1 species
CCACCCGUCUUCCUUCUGCUGGGUCGUGUUAAAGCCUCUGCAUCCGUUUUGGUGCAUUUGAUGAAGCAAAUGCAAGCCACAGCAACAGGCGAAUUCCCCAGCGUAACAGAAGAGGGCAGAUCGCACCAUCUUCCCGAACCAGGCAACUUCUAGUGGUGAGACUGGGAAAUCAACCUGGCCACAAAACCUCUGACCUACAAUCUGUCCGACCCGCAAGAUGCCGGGGCAGUGGCGAUGCAGGAUUUGUGGGAGUGCUGUAAUUUGAGGCCGGUGCCAGCAAUGAGAGGGAGCCUACACCUGAUACUGCCCGGAUGACCAGGAACUGGAGGCCGGAUUGUCCAGAG